rnacentral:rRNA from 1 species
CUGGCUCAGGAUGAACGCUAGCUACAGGCUUAACACAUAGCAAGUCGAGGGGCAGCAUUGGGAUAGCUGCUAUCCAGAUGCGACCGCGCACGGGUGAGUAACGCGUAUCCAACCUCCCCAUAGUAGGGCACAGCCCGGCGAAAGUCGGAUUAAUUCCCUAUGUUGUCCAGAGAGGACAUCUGACCUGGACGAAAGAUUCAUCGCUAUGGGAUGGGGGAUGCGUCUGAUUAGGUUGCAGGCGGGGUAACGGCCCACCUGGCCGACGAUCAGUAGGGGUUCUGAGAGGAAGGUCCCCCACAUUGGAACUGAGACACGGUCCAAACUCCUACGGGAGGCAGCAGUGAGGAAUAUUGGUCAAUGGACGGAAGUCUGAACCAGCCAAGUAGCGUGACAGGAUGACGGCCCUAUGGGUUGUAAACUGCUUUUAUCAGGGAAUAAAGUGAGGCACGCGUGUCCUUUUUGUAUGUACCUGAUGAAUAAGGACCGGCUAAUUCCGUGCCAGCCGCCGC